rnacentral:rRNA from 1 species
AUUGAACGCUGGCGGAAUGCUUUACACAUGCAAGUCGAACGGCAGCACGGGGCAACCUGGUGGCGAGUGGCGAACGGGUGAGUAAUACAUCGGAACGUGCCCAAUCGUGGGGGAUAACGUAGCGAAAGUUACGCUAAUACCGCAUACGAUCUACGGAUGAAAGCGGGGGAUCGCAAGACCUCGCGCGAGUGGAGCGGCCGAUGUCAGAUUAGGUAGUUGGUGGGGUAAAGGCUCACCAAGCCAACGAUCUGUAGCUGGUCUGAGAGGACGACCAGCCACACUGGAACUGAGACACGGUCCAGACUCCUACGGGAGGCAGCAGUGGGGAAUUUUGGACAAUGGGCGCAAGCCUGAUCCAGCCAUUCCGCGUGCAGGAUGAAGGCCUUCGGGUUGUAAACUGCUUUUGUACGGAACGAAACGGCGAGCUCUAAUACAGUUUGCUAAUGACGGUACCGUAAGAAUAAGCACCGGCUAACUACGUGCCAGCAGCCGCGGUAAACG